rnacentral:misc_RNA from 1 species
GAUGAAGAACGCAGUGAAAUGCGAUACGUAAUGUGAAUUGCAGAAUUCAGUGAAUCAUCGAGUCUUUGAACGCACAUUGCGCCCGCCAGUAUUCUGGCGGGCAUGCCUGUCCGAGCGUCAUUUCAACCCUCAAGCCCCAGCCGGCUUGGUGUUGGGGACCGGCCCCGGCCGCCCCCCAAAUGCAGUGGCGACCUCGCCGCAGCCUCCCCUGCGUAGUAGCACAACCUCGCACCGGAGCGCGGAGACGGUCACGCCGUAAAACGCCCAACUUCUCAGAGUUGACCUCGGAUCAGGUAGGAAUACCCGCUGAACUUAAGCAUAUCAAUAAGCGGAGGA